rnacentral:lncRNA from 1 species
UUCUGACUAUACUGUAGGGACAUUAUAACCACAUUAUAAAACAUUCUGACUAUACUGUCAGGGACAUUUUAUAACACAUUCUGACUAUACGUAGGGACAUUAUAAACACAUUUGACUAUACUAGGGACAUUAUAACCAUUUGACAUACUGUAGGGAAAUUAUAACACAUUCUGACUAUACUGUAGGGACAUUAUAACACAUUAUAACACAUUCUGACUAUACUGUAGGGACAUUAUAACACAUUCUGACUAUACUAGUAGGGACAUAUAAA